UACGUAGGGUGCGAGCGUUGUCCGGAAUUAUUGGGCGUAAAGAGCUCGUAGGCGGUUUGUCGCGUCUGCUGUGAAAACCCGAGGCUCAACCUCGGGCCUGCAGUGGGUACGGGCAGACUAGAGUGCGGUAGGGGAGAUUGGAAUUCCUGGUGUAGCGGUGGAAUGCGCAGAUAUCAGGAGGACACCGAUGGCGAAGGCAGAUCUCUGGGCCGUAACUGACGCUGAGGAGCGAAAGCAUGGGAGCGAACAGG
rnacentral:rRNA from 1 species